rnacentral:rRNA from 1 species
CAAUAGCGUAUAUUAAAGUUGUUGCAGUUAAAAAGCUCGUAGUUGGAUUUCUGGAUGGAGCGACCGGUCGGGCAUUAAUUUGUCUGCACUGGAGUCGGUUCCGUCCAUCCUCUUGGAAAGUGCGUCGGACAUUAAGUUGUUUGGCGUAUGAUCCAAGUCGUUUACUGUGAAAAAAUUAGAGUGUUUAAAGCAGGCCUUCGCCUUGAAUACAUUAGCAUGGAAUAAUAAGAUAGGACUUUGGUCUAUUUUGUUGGUUUGCAGACCGAAGUAAUGAUUAAUAGGGAUAGUUGGGGGUAUUUAUAUUCCGAUGUCAGAGGUGAAAUUCUUAGAUUUUCGGAAGAUAAACUUAUGCGAAAGCAUUUACCAAGGAUGUUUUCAUUAA